UCCUCGUGCUUGCAAAGCAGGCAGCAGAACCACUUAGCUAAAUCACUGGCCCAGAAAACAACUUCUUGAUUGUGGGUACUAAGGUAGUUCAGAGAGAAGAAAGAUGAUAAGCUUCCUGAAGGAUUGUGAUGAAGUAGAGAUGCCCAAGACUGAAGUCCGAAAUAAUGAGCCACCACAUGGAGGACAGAUGUCCCAAAGAGCUACCUGGAC